rnacentral:rRNA from 1 species
GACGAACGCUGGCGGCGUGCUUAACACAUGCAAGUCGAACGAUGAACCCGGAGCUUGCUCCGGUGGAUUAGUGGCGAACGGGUGAGUAACACGUGAGUAACCUGCCCUUGACUCUGGGAUAACUGCGGGAAACUGUAGCUAAUACCGGAUACGACCCUCGGCGGCAUCGCCAGGGGGUGGAAAGAAUUUCGGUCAAGGAUGGACUCGCGGCCUAUCAGCUAGUUGGUGAGGUAAUGGCUCACCAAGGCGACGAAGGGUAGCCGGACUGAGAGGGGGAGCGGCCACACUGGGACUGAGACACGGACCAGACUCCUACGGGAUGCAGCAGGGGGGAAUAUUGAACAAUGGGCGCAAGCCUGAUGCAGCAACGCCGCGUGAGGGAUGACGGCCUUCGGGUUGUAAACCUCUUUUAGUAGGGAAGAAGCGAAAGUGACGGUACCUGCAGAAAAAGCACCGGCUAACUACGUGCCAGCCGCCGCCGUAA